CGGGACGGGGCCGCCCCGCGAGGGACGGCGCCGCCCCGGGGCUCGUGAUAUCUCAUCUCGCCGCCCGUCGCGAGGCGGACGGAGGGAUGGAUGAGGUUACCUGGAAAAAUCGGGGCGAUCUAGGCGGGCGAACCUCGCCAACGAACGAUCGGACAUGGGAUAACGGAAGAGGGCGUCGGCUCGACUUCGUCGGUUCCUCGGGCCGAGGCACGUACGGUGAAUAGGGACGGUCGGGGCCGCCCGUACCGGGUCGUGAGAGGUGAAAUUCUAGGAUCGACCCGAGACGAACCGCCGCGAAAGCAUUCGGCAAGGACGCUUUCAUUAAUCAAGAACGAAAGUCGGGGGAUCGAAGACGAUCAGAUACCGUCGUAGUCCCGACCGUAAACGAUGCCGACCGAGGGCCCCGGAGGAGUUACGUACGACCCUCCGGGCCCUCCCGCGAGAAAUCAGGAGUAUUCGGGUUCCGGG
rnacentral:rRNA from 1 species